rnacentral:lncRNA from 1 species
UGUGGGCCAAGAGAAACUGUGCCAGAAAAAUGAGCAAAUGAAGAGUUCAUUUUGGGUAGAGAAAUUGCAAUUGGUGAGAUUCUAUGAUAAGAAAUAAAAUGAGACAAAGAACUGAAUAUAUGAUCAAUAGCACCUAUGUCUAGAAUCUAUUGGGAAGAGAUAUUACCUUGAUCUUGAGAAGAAGUGGAAAUAUUAUGGGAACUCACUAGACCAAUAGAGUGUGUGACGGUGGGAUUAGAUUGAGGAAGAAGUGCCAAUAGACCUUGAAUUUGCUCUUGAGAAAGUCCCAAAGUUGAGGAAUGUGGUUGCGUCUGAGAAUUAUUAGAAGAAGAAACAACUACAGAAGCCAUUGAAGGAGAAGAAAUUGUAGGAAAGCCAAGAACGAGAGGUAGAAGAUGAAAAUUUUGGUAGUAAGAGAAUUGGUUGUGGAAGAACGUGAUCAAGAAUUAAUUUUCUUUUGAUACCAUGUUAUGAGAAAAGAAAGGAUGAAAUAUUGUAUUUCUUAUUCAAUGAUAAGGAGAGAGUACAAUUGAUAUAUAUAUAUAUAUAAUUGUUUAGAGCAAUAUAAAAAAGGAAUAUAAGUAUAAAAAUAUAUGAACAUAAAUGCACAGAGAAUAAAAUAAUUCCAAUAUUAGAAGGUGAGUUUAGGCCUAACUCAACCCCACAAAACCGGCUUUUAAGGUAAGGAUUGCACCUCACUUAUAUAUUAUAAAUUGGCCUUAUCUCUAGUCGAUGUGGGACUUCCAACACACCCCC